CAGGAUUAGAUACCCUGGUAGUCCACGCCGUAAACGAUGAUAACUAGCUGUCCGGGAACUUGGUUUUUGGGUGGCGCAGCUAACGCAUUAAGUUAUCCGCCUGGGGAGUACGGCCGCAAGGUUAAAACUCAAAUGAAUUGACGGGGGCCUGCACAAGCGGCGGAGCAUGUGGUUUAAUUCGAAGCAACGCGCAGAACCUUACCAGCGUUUGACAUGUCCGGACGAUUUCCAGAGAUGGAUCUCUUCCCUUCGGGGACUGGAACACAGGUGCUGCAUGGCUGUCGUCAGCUCGUGUCGUGAGAUGUUGGGUUAAGUCCCGCAACGAGCGCAACCCUCGCCUUUAGUUACCAUCAUUAAGUUGGGUACUCUAAAGGAACCGCCGGUGAUAAGCCGGAGGAAGGUGGGGAUGACGUCAAGUCCUCAUGGCCCUUACGCGCUGGGCUACACACGUGCUACAAUGGCAGGUACAGUGGGCAGCAAUCCCGCGAGGGUGAGCUAAUCUCCAAGACCUGUCUCAGUUCGGAUUGCACUCUGCAACUCGAGUGCAUGAAGGCGGAAUCGCUAGUAAUCGCGGAUCAGCAUGCCGCGGUGAAUACGUUCCCAGGCCUUGUACACACCGCCCGUUACAC
rnacentral:rRNA from 1 species